rnacentral:lncRNA from 1 species
ACCUAUCUCUCCCUGAACUUUUGCUUCCAGGAUAUUUCAUCAUCCCUACAUUUUUUAGAUAGAUUCACGUUCAGCCUCUUUCUUUUAUUCCGUACCUCCUCGUUUGGUUCCCCCAUCCCUUCCAUCUGAUCGAUCUCAUGAAGCUCAUUCAUAAUACUACCAAAGUCUUCACCCUCCCUCUUUAAUUCAUGUUUUAUCCACUCCUUGAUCUCAUUCUUUAAAAUUUUCAUUUUCCUGGCCAGUUU